rnacentral:rRNA from 1 species
AGUGAACGCUGGCGGUAGGCCUAACACAUGCAAGUCGAACGGCAGCACAGUAAGAGCUUGCUCUUACGGGUGGCGAGUGGCGGACGGGUGAGGAAUACAUCGGAAUCUACUUUUUCGUGGGGGAUAACGUAGGGAAACUUACGCUAAUACCGCAUACGACCUACGGGUGAAAGCAGGGGAUCUUCGGACCUUGCGCGAUUGAAUGAGCCGAUGUCGGAUUAGCUAGUUGGCGGGGUAAAGGCCCACCAAGGCGACGAUCCGUAGCUGGUCUGAGAGGAUGAUCAGCCACACUGGAACUGAGACACGGUCCAAACUCCUACGAGAGGCAGCAGUGGGGAAUAUUGGACAAUGGGCGCAAGCCUGAUCCAGCCAUACCGCGUGGGUGAAGAAGGCCUUCGGGUUGUAAAGCCCUUUUGUUGGGAAAGAAAAGCAGCAGGAUAAUACCCCGCUGUUCUGACGGUACCCAAAGAAUAAGCACCGGCUAACUUCGUG